rnacentral:rRNA from 1 species
UAGGGAAUCUUUCCACAAUGGGCGCAAGCCUGAUGGAGCAACACCGCGUGAGUGAAGAAGGGUUUCGGCUCGUAAAGCUCUGUUGUUAAAGAAGAACACGUAUGAGAGUAACUGUUCAUACGUUGACGGUAUUUAACCAGAAAGUCACGGCUAACUACGUGUCAG